CUCCUAGGUAUGGUAGAGGAAAAGGUUUAUUGUGGGUAUGAGGGAGAGCAUAGCCAGAGGCAGGGACAUCUAAGAGAGUCCAGAGUGGACAGACAUGACCCUAAGCCAAGCCAUGUAAAGGGGGGGGGAUGAAAAGGGGGAGAGAGAGGAACCAGGAGCAGUGGCCAAGAGGGCAAAAGAUCAAAAAGGUGAAAAAGGACUGAUGUAAUCAGAAUGACCGGGUUACAUAGGAAUUGAAAAGCUGGGGGAAGGGAAAACCCAGUCCAGUUCCUGGACUGGUGAGUUCUGGAUAGGGGGUGAGGUAUGCCAGCCAGGAGGACUCCAUAACAGCUCUGUUCAGCAGGCUGGAGUCUGAGUGGAACAAAGUUGGAAGAAGAGGAAGCCAGCCCAUGUGUGCAAGUUCAGCUGUUCCCCGAACCAGUGUGUCUACUCCCUCUGCCGUCACCACCGCCAACCAGAUCAAAUUUGGUCUCUUCAUCCUAACAACGUGGACCCGCGCCAGCGACUCUCCAGGGGAGCAUUGCUUCAACCUCACGCUGGGCUUUCUCCCUGUUUUCCUUGUUCUGAGGCCUCUGGCUUCUGGGACUGAGAAGCGCCGGGAUUCGUGGCGCUCCAGCAUACAGACAGCCAUUGUUAAACCACCCAGCCAAUCAUGAAGUUCAGUUAACAAGUCACUGUUCGCAUUCUGUUGGUUCUCUUCUUCUGGAGAACUCUGACUAAUGGAGCAAGUGUGUUAUCAUCUUGUUGAGGGCCUGAAGUAUUAUCAAUAGGUAACACAAGUGUCAUCAUACAAAGUACAGAAGUCAGAGAAGAGCUUGUGGAAAUCAAUUCUUCCAUCAUGAGGGAUCUGAGGAUAAACCUCAGGCAGUCAGGCCUGUCACCUUUGACCUGUUGAGACAUCUUUCAGGCUUGUUCUGUAUUUUUCAAACAGGGUUUGUGUAAACCAGGAUCAUCUUGAACCCCUAAUCCUCCUGCUUCAGGAUCUCAAACACUGAGAUUACAAGCAUGUACCUUGUUUGUGUGAAUGGGUCCCAUGUAACUAAGGAUGACCUUGAACAUCAGACCUCUCGCCUCUACUCUGUGUUUUGGUUUGCACGAUGCUGGGGAUUGAACCUGAGUCUUUGUAAUGCAAGACCCUUAUCAACUGAGCUGUAUCAAACAGCCCAAAUUGAUAUGCUUAGACAAUAAAAAAGCAUAUUAAGUAUACUGAAGCUAGGUGGCGGUGGUACAUACUUUUAAUCCUAGCACCCAGGAGGAAGAGGCAGGCCAAUCUCUGAGUUCGAGGCUAGCCUGGUCUAAGAGUGAGUUCCAGGACAGCCAGAGCUAUGUAGAGACUCUGUCUCAAGAAACAAAACAGAACAAACAAAACAUUGAAAGUUAGGUGUGAAAAAAAUAGAUAUAUAUGCUAGUUGCUGGCAUUCAGGAGAAACCAAAAAAGAAAAUACUUCUUAUUAUUUUUAUUAUUAAAAUAAAUAUUUGUUGUGAAAAUUAGAGUUUAUAUAUAAGCAAGGGCAUAAAAAACAGAACUAUAGGCCAAGCAUGGUGGUGCAUACCUAUAAUCUCUGCACUUGAAAGAGAAGCAGAGGCAGAAUGAACAGGGAUUCAAGGCUAGCCUUAGUUACAUACAAGUUUGAGGCCAGCAUGGGAUAUAAAAGACCCAGUAUCAAACAAACAAAUAGAAAACCCAAAAGAAACAAACAAGCAAAGAACACACACACACACACACACACACACACACACACACACACUGCAAUUUUUUUUUUAAUUGGUUAAUUGGUUGAGGUGGGUUUGUCUCUAACCCAGUGUGGCCCAGAACUCAGUAGGUAGUACAGGCUGGCCUCGGAUUUUUUGAUUUUUUAUGAGUCCUGCUUCAGCCUCCUCAGUGCUGGGAUUACUGGCUCGCACCCUGACAUCUGGGUUUACUUCCAGGUCACACCCACCAUCCUUUAUAUAUUCACACAUUCAUUCCACGUAAGGAUGAGCCUUUCAGGAAGCGCAGCCAGAGGAAAGGGCUCUGGCAAGAGCUGUCCAGCAAUAGACGUCUGCCUGGAGCCACAGGCAGUGCCUGGUCACAACAGGUCCCGAAGCUUUAGCUGCAACCACUUGUCGGUAGAGCUACGGAAGCCUUCCUACAAGAAAGAGAAGUCACGCUGAAUGUUCCCUAACGCCCCUCCUGCCCCUGACAUUUUAGCAUCAUGAAUUAUUCAUUGGAAGUGUGUACAGAGGUAUGAGAUUCCUAGCCCACACGGGCGAUUGGUGUGGUUCUUCAAAUCUUGGCCAGUGAGGACAGCUCCAAGUUCAUGCCCGUGAAAUUUAUAGGAAAUUCCUUGCAUAGUUCAGGUGGAGGAUCUGCUCUGCUUUGUCCAAAAUCCAGGACGUGCAAGCCUGCCAGCGAAUCCUGGUCAAAUGGAGAAGAAAACAGAGGGCGGGUGCGCCUGCAGAGACUUCAUCUGAUCCUCAGACGCUGUUUGUCUGCAUUUUUUAAAAAUUAUUAUUAUUACUACUAUCUGAGGUUUGUUUGUGAGAAAAAUUCCUGACCUGGCAAAAAUUCAUAGUAAUUACUCAGGAGAAAGGAAUGAGAAGAAACAAGCAGACCGAAAAAAAAUAAAACAAUAAAAAUACAAAGCAUUGAUAAGGUGGGGGAACCUGGGCAUGGGGCUUCAGUGGGAGAGAAGAGGUCUGCAGAAGGCCCACCCAAAUGCUUUUGAUGUUUGACCAAUUAUUAUCUUAUUAUUCUUCCUGCUAUAGAUGCAGCUGCAAUUUAUGUAACAGGAUGUUUAAAAAGAUGAAAGAGAAGGUGUAGUGGAGCUUUGAGGUGAUAAGAGCUCCUAGAAUAUGUAUUUAUGGACGUUUAGAGUAUAAGUUCCCGUACAUUCUUAUAAUAAAACACCUAUUUGUUUUUCUUUUCUUAAGAGCAACAACUAAAAAUUGGGCUUCAAUAUGGCAGCUUCCUGCGGGCGAGCGAUAUAGGAACCACAGCAAAGAAAGCGAACAAAGAGUCAUUGCCGAAGGGGUUGGAGGUGGUUCAAUCUGUGGCCCCCGCUGGCUCUUAAUUAGCUUUGAGCUUUGGGUCCAGAAUGUUUUAUCUUUGUAUUAUACAAGUGUUGGAAUUUAUUUGGUUUCAACCUGUUUAUCAUAAAAUGGAUUCUUCUAUUGUUCGAGGAGGAGGGCCCUGUGGAAUUCGUGACUGAAAUCACCCCGUGUGAAGAUGAAAGCGAAAAAUAGUUUUUGCCGGACGGUUUGUGGGACCAAAGUUGAAACGAGUUGAACGGUGUGCCAGAAGGCUCUGUAUGUGCUGGGCACAGCGGCACAUACACUUUUACCUCUUCAUCUCAGGCAGAGGCAGAAGAGGUGGACCUCUACGCAUCUCCGUCUGAUCUACAUAGGCCAGCCAGGGCUAUAUUGUAAGACCCUGUCUCAAAACAAACAAACAAAAUUUUCUAUAGGUAUCUUAACCAGGGUUACUCACAGGGACUGGAGACCCCUGCUGGGCGUGCUGUCCUGUCUCACAACAAACCGGUGCUGGACACCCCAUAAAAAGGUCUUUGGACAUGUUCUAACUUAGAAGUGCUAUCAUUACUCAUGGUUUAUUUGCUAAUUUCAGUUAUUUCUCCUAGCAACCCAGGCAAGUGGAAUACCCCUCUCCUACAUGUUCAUAAUUUUACUCAUAUGUGUAUAUAGGUACAGUAUAUGUCCAGCUUCUUUCUCUUUGAAAUUAAGCUUUUUAAAAGUAAUGUCUCUUUCUCCUAGGUCCCUCAGGAUGCAUUCCUUAAAAACAAGGGAUUCUCUUUCAUAACCACAAUACAAAUAUGAAAACUUAAGAAGUCAAUUACAACUAAAUAAAAAUUUGUGAUCUAUAAGCCUCAUUAAAAUAUGGUUCCACUGUCCCAAUAACAUCACUGUAGUAAAGUUCAUUGCAGAUCAUUUAUCACAUCUGGUUGUCCAGCCUCUUAGGUGGUAUGGUGAGUUGAACCCAGAGCCUUCAGCUUCCUAGGCAAGCGCUCACCCACACCUUUACUUUCUAAUCUGGAAUAGAUCUUCUGUACCUAGGACCAUGACAUAUUGAAGACAUAUUGUAGAGUGUCAUCGGUUGGUGUUUCAUCCUUUAGACUCAAGUUAUGUCUUCUUAGCAGGAAUACAAGGAGUGAUGACACUUCCAUAUAUAUAGUAUAUCCUCUGCCCCCAAAUGUAUGCUCUGUAAUAAACUCUGUGUCUAUACUA